GUAGGUGAACCUGCGGAAGGAUCAUUAACGAAUAACUAUGGUGUCUUGGUUGUAGCUGGCUCCUCGGAGCAAUGUGCACGCCCGCCAUUUUUAUCUUUCCACCUGUGCACCGACUGUAGGUCUGGAUGACUCUCGUACUCCGGUGCGGAUGCGAGGAUUGCUCUCGGGCUCUCCUCGAAUUUCCAGACUCUACGUCUUUUUACACACCCCAAACGUAUGAUACAGAAUGUAGUCAAUGGGCUUGAUCGCC
rnacentral:misc_RNA from 1 species